UGCCCUUUCGUCCUCUGGCUGGCAUCUCAGCAGUGAGAAUAAAAGUGUCUGUGUUGUGGCUUCUCAGGGCCUCCUGCCUGCAAACAGACAGUUUGGUGACCAGUGAGGGAAGUUGCUGACUGCCACGGCUACUGCUGUCCAUUUGGACUCUAGAGCUGGGAGCCUUGCCUAGGUUGUCCAGCACCCUGCCAGUCCCACCCAUACAGCCUCAGAGACUGUGUGUCAUUCUUUCCUUUUUCCUGGAAACUUCCACCCAUCUGUCUACUCCCGAAGUAUCAAAGUGGCUGAUGGAGAGGAGAGUCCCAGGAACAGCCUGCUCCAGAACCAAGUGGCAAAGCCAAGAAACUUUGAAAACAUACGGAAUAGUCUGUAAGAAAAGUUAAGUUUCAGAUAGUCCUUGGAAUUGAGGAGGAUAUGAUCUCUCACAAGCUUGCUGUGGGUUUUUUUGUGUGCCCAGCCUGAAGCCCCUCCAUUCCUGGGAGCUUGCGCCCAUCUUCAGACUUAGUGGGGACUCUUCAAGGACCUUCUGGAGUCAUGGGAAGAGGCCUCUCUUUUCCUACCAUGAACGAGCUUUUUGUGCCUG